rnacentral:rRNA from 1 species
UACAGAACCCGCAAGCGUUAUCCGGAUUUAUUGGGCGUAAAGUGUUCGUAGGCGGUUCGGAAAGUCUGAUAUCAAAUAUCCGGGCUCAACCCGGGGCGAGUAUUGGAAACUUCCGAACUUGAAGGUGCUAGGGGCUAUCGGAACGCACGGUGUAGGGGUGAAAUCCGUUGAUAUCGUGCGGAACACCAAAAGCGAAGGCAGAUAGCUGGGGCAUUCUUGACGCUGAGGAACGAAAGCGUGGGGAGCAAAAAGGAUUAGAUACCCUUGUAGUCCACGCCCUAAACGAUGGACACUGGUUGCUUGAAGUGUCGACCCUUCAAGUGGCGAAGCUAACGCGUUAAGUGUCCCGCCUGGGAAGUACGGCCGCAAGGCUAAA